rnacentral:rRNA from 18 species
GGGAAUUUCCGAAUGGGGAAACCCGGCCUCCUUAUGGAGGUCAUCACAUGCUGAAUACAUAGGCAUGUGAGGCGAACGCGGUGAACUGAAACAUCUAAGUAACCGGAGGAAGAGAAAACAAAAGUGAUUCCGUUAGUAGUGGCGAGCGAACGCGGAUUAGCCCAAACCAAUGUUGUUACGGCAAUAUUGGGGUUGUAGGACCACGAUAUUCAAUGCUAAGUGAAUUAGAACUGUUUGGAAAGACAGACCAGAGAGGGUGAUAGUCCCGUAAAAGUAAGCGAAGUUAUUGAUAGUGGUAUCCUGAGUAGUGCGGGACACGAGUAAUCCUGUAUGAAUCCACCGGGACCAUCCGGUAAGGCUAAAUACUCCUCAGAGACCGAUAGUGAACUAGUACCGUGAGGGAAAGGUGAAAAGUACUCCGAAUAGGAGGGUGAAAUAGUACCUGAAACUGUGCGCUUACAAGCAGUUGGAGUCCUACGGGAUGACAGCGUGCCUUUUGCAUAAUGAGCCUACGAGUUACUCCUCACUGGCAAGGUUAAUUUUCAUAAGGAAAGUAGCCGAAGCGAAAGCGAGUCUGAAUAGGGCGCUUUAG